rnacentral:misc_RNA from 1 species
UUAAGUUCAGCGGGUAUCCCUACCUGAUCCGAGGUCAAACCAUAGAAAAAUAUGAGGUUGUCAGGCGGGUGACGUCCACUUCCAGAAAGCGAGAAAAAAUUGACUACGCUUAGGAGUUGAAUACCACCGCCUACGAGUUUCGGACAUGUCCAGUAACGGACAAAGAUCCAAUACCAAGCCGAAGCUUGAGGGUUUGAAAU